rnacentral:rRNA from 1 species
AGUGAACGCUGGCGGUAGGCCUAACACAUGCAAGUCGAACGGCAGCACAGUAAGAGCUUGCUCUUACGGGUGGCGAGUGGCGGACGGGUGAGGAAUACAUCGGAAUCUACUUUUUCGUGGGGGAUAACGUAGGGAAACUUACGCUAAUACCGCAUACGACCUACGGUUGAAAGCAGGGGAUCUUCGGACCUUGCGCGAUUGAAUGAGCCGAUGUCGGAUUAGCUAGUUGGCGGGGUAAAGGCCCACCAAGGCGACGAUCCGUAGCUGGUCUGAGAGGAUGAUCAGCCACACUGGAACUGAGACACGGUCCAGAGUCCUAAGGGAGGCAGCAGUGGGGAAUAUUGGACAAUGGGCGCAAGCCUGAUACAGCCAUACCGCGUGGGUGAAGAAGGCCUUCGGGUUGUAAAGCCCUUUUGUUGGGAAAGAAAAGCAGCAGGUUAAUACCCCGCUGUUCUGACGGUACCCAAAGAAUAAGCACCGGCUAACUUCGUG